rnacentral:rRNA from 1 species
CCUACGGGAGGCAGCAGUGAGGAAUUUUGCGCAAUGCUCGUAAGAGUGACGCAGCGACGCCGCGUGAAUGACGAAUGCCUUCGGGGCGUAAAGUUCUUUCGACCGGGAAGCAAAUGCAUAUACGUGACUGUGUAUGUAUUGACGGUACCUGUAUAAGCAGCCCCGGCUUACUCCGUGCCAGCAGCCGCGGUAAUACGGUGGGGGCGUGCGUUGUUCCGAGUGACUGGGGGUAAAGAGCACGGAGGGGGUGUUGUAAGUCAUGAGGUAAAGACUAGCGCCCAACUUUAGUAAGGCUAGUGAAACUAUAAUUCUAGAGUAGGAGAGAGGUAUGCAGAAUGCGUGGUGUAGCGGUGAAAUGCGUAGAUAUCAGGAGGAAUACCGUUAGCGAAGGCGGCAAUCUGGCUGGAAACUGACGCUGAGGUGCGAAAGCGUGGGUAGCAAACAGGAUUAGAUACCCUUGUAGUC